CGUGGGGCUGGGACAGAGAUAAAAAAAAAAACAUUACCCAAACCCGUAUUUGUUUCUGUGCAGUUCCUCUUGGCGUUUCUCUCCUCUCUCCUGAUCCCUUUGUUUUUCCUUCUCUUUGCUCUGAUACCCUUUUCUCCCCCAUUGUACCUGAGCAGUGGGUUCUAGGACAGCAAGAUCCACCCCUCCCUCCCUGUCAUCUGUGUGGGAUGUCAUAAGGAAGCAGGGAUCUCCCUGUGUUCCAUCUGAUUUACCUGGAUACAGUUGCUUAAAUAUCCUCCUUUUUGGGGGGAUUGACUUCUGCAGAUGAAAAAGGAGAGAAACUAAACAAGGCAGCGCGGUGAACGCUGGGAAUUUUAUAUUGUCUAUUUUUUUGUAUUAUUAUUUUUUUAAUUAUCCAAUUUCUGGAAAACUCUCUGGCUUUUCAGAGGAUUUAUUGAUGCUGGUUGGAGAAGACAUGAUCCCUGUUUUGAUGUCCUAGGACGGGGGAAGCUAUAAGGCAAAGAUGAAGAGUUUGCAGUGUGCUGGUCUCUUAUUGCUCUCUGUUGUACUGGAG